CUACGGGCGGCAGCAGUAAAGAAUCUUCCACAAUGGGCGAAAGCCUGAUGGAGCAAUAUCGCGUGGGUGAUGACGGUCGAAAGAUUGUAAAGCCCUUUUCUGAGGGAAGAAUUAUGACGGUACCUCAGGAAUAAGCACCGGCUAACUCCGUGCCAGCAGCCGCGGUAAUACGGAGGGUGCAAGCGUUACCCGGAAUCAUUGGGCGUAAAGCGUCCGCAGGCGGUUUUUUAAGUCAAAUAUUAAAUCUUGGAGCCCAACUUCAAGGCUGUGUUUGAAACUGGAUAACUAGAGUCUUUCAGAGGUGCGUGGAAUUCUGUGUGUAGGGGUAAAAUCCGUAGAUACACAGAGGAACACCAAAAGCGAAGGCAGCGCACUGGGAAAGUACUGACGCUCAUGGACGAAAGCGUAGGUAGCGAACGGGAUUAGAUACCCCCGUAGUC
rnacentral:rRNA from 1 species